rnacentral:rRNA from 1 species
GACGAACGCUGGCGGCGUGCCUAAUACAUGCAAGUAGAACGCUGAAGGAGGAGCUUGCUUCUCUGGAUGAGUUGCGAACGGGUGAGUAACGCGUAGGUAACCUGCCUGGUAGCGGGGGAUAACUAUUGGAAACGAUAGCUAAUACCGCAUAACAGUAGAUAUCGCAUGAUAUCUACUUGAAAGGUGCAAUUGCAUCACUACCAGAUGGACCUGCGUUGUAUUAGCUAGUUGGUGAGGUAACGGCUCACCAAGGCGACGAUACAUAGCCGACCUGAGAGGGGGAUCGGCCACACUGGGACUGAGACACGGCCCAGACUCCUACGGGAGGCAGCAGUAGGGAAUCUUCGGCAAUGGACGGAAGUCUGACCGAGCAACGCCGCGUGAGUGAAGAAGGUUUUCGGAUCGUAAAGCUCUGUUGUAAGAGAAGAACGAGUGUGAGAGUGGAAAGUUCACACUGUGACGGUAUCUUACCAGAAAGAGACGGCUAACUACGUG